rnacentral:rRNA from 1 species
GACGAAGGGGGCUAGCGUUGUUCGGAAUUACUGGGCGUAAAGGGCGUGCAGGCGGUUUGUUAAGUGCAGGGUGAAAGCUCCCGGCUCAACUGGGAGAGGUCCUUGCAUACUGGCAAACUCGAGGGAGGCAGAGGAAAGUGGAAUUCCCGGUGUAGUGGUGAUAUGCGUAGAUAUCGGGAGGAACACCUGUGGCGAAGGCGGCUUUCUGGGCCUUACCUGACGCUGAGACGCGAAAGCGUGGGGAGCGAACCGG